rnacentral:rRNA from 1 species
GACGAACGCUGGCGGCGUGCCUAAUACAUGCAAGUAGAACGCACAGUUUAUACCGUAGCUUGCUACACCAUAAACUGUGAGUUGCGAACGGGUGAGUAACGCGUAGGUAACCUGCCUGGUAGCGGGGGAUAACUAUUGGAAACGAUAGCUAAUACCGCAUAAUAUUAAUUAUUGCAUGAUAAUUGAUUGAAAGAUGCAAUUGCAUCACUACCAGAUGGACCUGCGUUGUAUUAGCUAGUAGGUGAGGUAACGGCUCACCUAGGCGACGAUACAUAGCCGACCUGAGAGGGUGAUCGGCCACACUGGGACUGAGACACGGCCCAGACGCCUACGGGAGGCAGCAGUAGGGAAUCUUCGGCAAUGGACGAAAGUCUGACCGAGCAACGCCGCGUGAGGGAAGAAGGUUGUCGGAUCGUAAAGCUCGGUUGUAAGAGAAGAACGGGUGUGAGAGUGGAAAGUUCACACUGUGACGGUAUCUUACCAGAAAGGGACGGCUAACUACGUG